rnacentral:rRNA from 1 species
AGAGUUUGAUCCUGGCUCAGGAUGAACGCUAGCGGCAGGCUUAACACAUGCAAGUCGAGGGGUAGAGGAAGCUUGCUCCUUGAGACCGGCGCACGGGUGCGUAACGCGUAUGCAAUCUACCUUAUACAGGGGGAUAGCCCAGAGAAAUUUGGAUUAAUACCCCAUAGUAUAAUUGAAUGGCAUCAUUUAAUUAUUAAAGUUCCAACGGUAUAAGAUGAGCAUGCGUCCCAUUAGCUAGUUGGUGUGGUAACGGCACACCAAGGCGACGAUGGGUAGGGGUCCUGAGAGGGAGAUCCCCCACACUGGUACUGAGACACGGACCAGACUCCUACGGGAGGCAGCAGUGAGGAAUAUUGGUCAAUGGGCGCAAGCCUGAACCAGCCAUGCCGCGUGCAGGAUGACGGUCCUAUGGAUUGUAAACUGCUUUUGUACAGGAAGAAACACUCCCUCGUGAGGGAGCUUGACGGUACUGUAAGAAUAAGGAUCGGCUAACUCCGUG